CAUGUAGGCGGUUUUUUAAGUCUGGAGUGAAAAUGCGGGGCUCAACCCCGUAUGGCUCUGGAUACUGGAAGACUUGAGUGCAGGAGAGGAAAGGGGAAUUCCCAGUGUAGCGGUGAAAUGCGUAGAUAUUGGGAGGAACACCAGUGGCGAAGGCGCCUUUCUGGACUGUGUCUGACGCUGAGAUGCGAAAGCCAGGGUAGCGAACA
rnacentral:rRNA from 1 species